UUUCCGUAGGUGAACCUGCGGAAGGAUCAUUACAGUUGUCGCCCGGGUUGCCGCAAGGCCUCCCGGGUAACCUACCACCCUUUGUUUAUUACACUUUGUUGCUUUGGCAGGCCUGCCCUCGGGCUGCUGGCUCCGGCCGGCGAGCGCUUGCCAGAGGACCUAAACUCUGUUUGUCUAUACUGUCUGAGUACUAUAUAAUAGUUAAAACUUCCAACAACGGAUCUCUUGGUUCUG
rnacentral:misc_RNA from 1 species